GAGGCUCUGACUUGCUUAUUGCACCACAUGUGUUUUUCUUUGAAACAAACUUGCUUUGGCGGUGGGCCCAGCCUGCCGCCAGAGGUCUAAACUUACAACCAAUUUUUUAUCAACUUGUCACACCAGAUUAUUACUAAUAGUCAAAACUUUCAACAACGGAUCUCUUGGUUCUCGCAUCGAUGAAGAACGCAGCGAAAUGCGAUACGUAAUAUGAAUUGCAGAUAUUCGUGAAUCAUCGAAUCUUUGAACGCACAUUGCGCCCUCUGGUAUUCCGGAGGGCAUGCCUGUUUGAGCGUCGUUUCUCCCUCAAACCGCUGGGUUUGGUGUUGAGCAAUACGACUUGGGUUUGCUUGAAAGACGGUAGUGGUAAGGCGGGAUCGCUUUGACAAUGGCUUAGGUCUAACCAAAAACAUUGUUUGCGGCGGUAACGUCCACCACGUAUAUCUUCAAACUUUGACCUCAAAUCAGGUAGGACUACCCGCUGAACUUAAGCAUAUCAAAAGGCGGAGGAA
rnacentral:rRNA from 1 species